GGCAACGCAGCUUCCAGCGUUUUCGGGACGCCUAGUUCGAUACUUCGAGAACGAACGGCAAUAGUCGAUUGGGCUAUGGAAAUCCCGAAAACUGGAGAAUCUUCGCAGGUCGUCGAGAGCCCUUGCGCGCUAAUAUAAAUACGGCAAGGCGACCGGAGUGAAUUGAUUCAUUCGGAGUUAA